UACGGAGGGGGCUAGCGUUGUUCGGAAUUACUGGGCGUAAAGCGCACGUAGGCGGACUGUUAAGUCGGGGGUGAAAUCCUGGGGCUCAACCUCAGAAUUGCCUCCGAUACUGGCGGUCUCGAGUGCGGGAGAGGUGAGUGGAAUUCCCAGUGUAGAGGUGAAAUUCGUAGAUAUUGGGAAGAACACCAGUGGCGAAGGCGGCUCACUGGCCCGUAACUGACGCUGAGGUGCGAAAGCGUGGGGAGCAAACAGG
rnacentral:rRNA from 1 species